rnacentral:rRNA from 1 species
CGUAGGGUGCGAGCGUUAAUCGGAGUUACUGGGCGUAAAGCGUGCGCAGGCGGUUUGUAAGACAGAUGUGAAAUCCCCGGGCUCAACCUGGGACCUGCAUUUGUGACUGCAAGGCUAGAGUACGGUAGAGGGGGAGUGGAAUUCCGCGUGUAGCAGUGAAAUGCGUAGAUAUGCGGAGGAACACCGAUGGCGAAGGCAAUCCCCUGGACCUGUACUGACGCUCAUGCACGAAAGCGUGGGGAGCAAACAGGAUUAGAUACCCUGGUAGUCCACGCCCUAAACGAUGUCAACUGGUUGUUGGGUCUUUACUGACUCAGUAACGAAGCUAACGCGUGAAGUUGACCGCCUGGGGAGUACGGCCGCAAGGUUG